rnacentral:tRNA from 1 species
CGGUAGCUCAGUCGGUAGAGCAUCGGACUGAAAAUCCGAGUGUCGGCAGUUCAAUUCUGCCCUG